rnacentral:rRNA from 1 species
GACGAACGCUGGCGGCGCGCCUAACACAUGCAAGUCGAACGGAGCUGAGAGGAGCUUGCUUUUCUUAGCUUAGUGGCGAACGGGUGAGUAACACGUGAGUAACCUGCCCUGGAGUGGGGGACAACAGUUGGAAACGACUGCUAAUACCGCAUAAGCCCACGGCCCGGCAUCGGGCUGAGGGAAAAGGAUUUAUUCGCUUCAGGAUGGACUCGCGUCCAAUUAGCUAGUUGGUGAGGUAACGGCCCACCAAGGCGACGAUUGGUAGCCGGACUGAGAGGUUGAACGGCCACAUUGGGACUGAGACACGGCCCAGACUCCUACGGGAGGCAGCAGUGGGGGAUAUUGCACAAUGGGGGAAACCCUGAUGCAGCGACGCCGCGUGGAGGAAGAAGGUUUUCGGAUUGUAAACUCCUGUCGUUAGGGACGAUAAUGACGGUACCUAACAAGAAAGCACCGGCUAACUACGUGCCAGCCGCCGCAGUAA